GGAUAUAGUUGACAGCAUGUGAUUUUGUAACCCUGUGAGAUACAGUUUGAUUGUGUCAUAAGAUUUUAGGUGGCUUAAGGAAGUGAAAGCUACUAAAAAUUCCAUAGAGAAAGUGUCUACCACACGAAAUUCUUUAGUAAACCUAAUGAAAGUGUAGACAGCACUUUUGUAUGACCGUCUAGUGUUGUCGGACAGGGCGCAUUGUGACAGUACUCUGCCAUGUGCCAGGAGCUGACCUAAUCCAUGAUGAGGUCUUGAAAAUGAGGGUCAGGAGUUGCCAUUGGAGAGGCACUGGGGUAGAGUUAGAGGAAUUCCUGAAAAUGGAAGCGAGAUAAAUGGUCAGCCGCCAUGUUGUGACUACCGGGAACAUGUGUACUCCAGAUAAAGAAUUGAUGAG